rnacentral:lncRNA from 1 species
UGCAGCCUCGCUCUGCCCCAGGAUGGGGAAGCCCGUGGGCACGAGGGACUCAGGGCCACAGCUCCCUGGGACAGGGUACAACCGCUGGAAUUCUGUUUGAAAUAGCAUGGCUGAUGAGUGGAGUAGGUCUGUGCCCAGGACGCGAACCUGCGAACUCAGGCUGCCAAAGUGGAGCACCCAGCACUUUAACCACUCGGCCAUGAGGCUGACCCCACUUCCUGGUACCAGAAUCCACCAUCCGCCAUGGAGGCAACAACCAAGGAUAUCCGUCUGUGGAUUCCCUUAUCUCGCCACCCUUCUCCCUGCAAACAGCCUCACAAGGCCAAACGCAGGCUGGUGGGAAAGCUCCUACCAGCAAGGUCACAGCCUCCCUUCCCCACAAGCAGCCGAAUUCCUCACAAACCUUUAAAACCCCUCACCUUCCACCUUUCAUGGAGACGAGAUGAAUUUGAGGGCUCACUCUCAUCUCCCGGCUGAUGUCAC